AGAGUUUGAUCAUGGCUCAGAGUGAACGCUGGCGGCGUGCUUAACACAUGCAAGUCGAACGAGAACGGGUUAUAGCUUGCUAUAACUGUCAGCUAAGUGGCGCACGGGUGAGUAAUAUAUAGUUAAUCUGCCCUAGAGAGAGGAAUAACAAUUAGAAAUGAUUGCUAAUGCCUUAUAUGCCUUUAAGACAUAAGUCUGCAAGGGAAACAUUUAUGGCUCUAGGAUGAGACUGUACAGUAUCAGUUAGUUGGUGAGGUAAUGGCUCACCAAGACAAUGACGCUUAACUGGUUUGAGAGGAUGAUCAGUCACACUGGAACUGAGACACGGUCCAGACUCCUACGGGAGGCAGCAGUGGGGAAUAUUGCACAAUGGACGAAAGUCUGAUGCAGCAACGCCGCGUGGAGGAUGACACUUUUCGGAGCGUAAACUCCUUUUAUAUGGGAAGAUAAUGACGGUACCAUAUGAAUAAGCACCGGCUAACUCCGUGCCAGCAGCCGCGGUAAUACGGAGGGUGCAAGCGUUACUCGGAAUCACUGGGCGUAAAGAGAAUGUAGGCGGAUAAAUAAGUCAGAUGUGAAAGCCAAUAGCUCAACUAUUGAACUGCAUUUGAAACUGUUAAUCUAGAAUAUGGGAGAGGUAGAUGGAAUUUCUGGUGUAGGGGUAAAAUCCGUAGAGAUCAGAAAGAAUACCGAUUGCGAA
rnacentral:rRNA from 1 species